UAGGGGAUAUUGGUUAAUGGGCGAAAGCCUGAACCAGCAACGCCGCGUGUGCGAUGAAGGCCUUCGGGUUGUAAAGCACUUUUUGCCGGGAAGAGGAAGGACGGUACCGGUAGAAUAAGCCUCGGCUAACUACGUGCCAGCAGCCGCGGUAAAACGUAGGAGGCGAGCGUUAUCCGGAUUUACUGGGUGUAAAGCGCGUGCAGGCGGUUUUGUAAGUUGGGUGUGAAAGCUCCUGGCUCAACUAGGAGAGGUCGCUCAAGACUGCAAGACUGGAGUAUGGUAAGGGAAGGCGGAAUUCCGGGUGUAGUGGUGAAAUGCGUAGAUAUCCGGAGGAACACCAGUGGCGAAAGCGGCCUUCUGGACCAUGACUGACGCUCAGACGCGAAAGCUAGGGGAGCAAACGGG
rnacentral:rRNA from 1 species